UACGUAGGGGCCUAGCGUUGUCCGGAUUUAUUGGGCGUAAAGAGCUCGUAGGCGGUUCGGCAAGUCAGCUGUGAAAUCUCCACGCUUAACGUGGAGGGGUCAGCUGAUACUGCCGUGACUCGAGUCCGGUAGGGGAGUGUGGAAUUCCCGGUGUAGCGGUGAAAUGCGCAGAUAUCGGGAGGAACACCGGUGGCGAAGGCGGUUCUCUGGGCAUGUUCUGACGCUGAGGAGCGAAAGUGUGGGGAGCGAACAGG
rnacentral:rRNA from 1 species